ACGCUGGCGGCAGGCUUAACACAUGCAAGUCGAACGCAUCGCAAGAUGAGUGGCAGACGGGUGAGUAACGCGUGGGAACAUACCCUUUCCUGCGGAAUAGCUCCGGGAAACUGGAAUUAAUACCGCAUACGCCCUACGGGGGAAAGAUUUAUCGGGGAAGGAUUGGCCCGCGUUGGAUUAGCUAGUUGGUGGGGUAAAGGCCUACCAAGGCGACGAUCCAUAGCUGGUCUGAGAGGAUGAUCAGCCACAUUGGGACUGAGACACGGCCCAAACUCCUACGGGAGGCAGCAGUGGGGAAUAUUGGACAAUGGGCGCAAGCCUGAUCCAGCCAUGCCGCGUGAGUGAUGAAGGCCUUAGGGUUGUAAAGCUCUUUCACCGAUGAAGAUAAUGACGGUAGUCGGAGAAGAAGCCCCGGC
rnacentral:rRNA from 1 species